CCUACGGGAGGCAGCAGUGAGGAAUAUUGGUCAAUGUGCGUAAGCCUGAACCAGCCAAGUCGCGUGAGGGAUGAAGGUUCUAUGGAUCGUAAACCUCUUUUAUAAGGGAAUAAAGUGUGGGACGUGUCCUAUUUUGUAUGUACCUUAUGAAUAAGGAUCGGCUAACUCCGUGCCAGCAGCCGCGGUAAUACGGAGGAUCCGAGCGUUAUCCGGAUUUAUUGGGUUUAAAGGGUGCGUAGGCGGCCUUUUAAGUCAGCGGUGAAAGUCUGUGGCUCAACCAUAGAAUUGCCGUUGAAACUGGGGGGCUUGAGUAUGUUUGAGGCAGGUGGAAUGCGUGGUGUAGCGGUGAAAUGCUUAGAUAUCACGCAGAACCCCGAUUGCGAAGGCAGCCUGCCAAGCCAUGACUGACGCUGAUGCACGAAAGCGUGGGGAUCAAACAGGAUUAGAUACCCCUGUGUC
rnacentral:rRNA from 1 species